rnacentral:rRNA from 1 species
UACAUGGGGUGCAAACGUUGCUCGGAAUUAUUGGGCGUAAAGCGCGCGUAGGCGGUUACUCAAGUCGGAUGUGAAAGCCCUCGGCUUAACUGAGGAAGUGCACCCGAAACUGAGUAGCUAGAGUACUAAAGAGGGUCGCGGAAUUCCCGGUGUAGAGGUGAAAUUCGUAGAUAUCGGGAGGAACACCGGUGGCGAAGGCGGCGACCUGGGUAGAUACUGACGCUGAGGUGCGAAAGCGUGGGGAGCAAACAGGG